rnacentral:lncRNA from 1 species
GACUCCCCGAGGGUCCACAUCUAGUGACCUGGUGUCCCCCGGGGCCAGCUCCCUGCACAAGGGCUGCCUCCCUGGCUGGGGACACGUGUGGCCCUGCCCAGCCAAUCACAGCUCCCCAACCCCCAGCCACGGUGACCGGCACAGAGAGGGGCGUAGACCGGGGCGUGACCACACAGGCCUCUUACAGGCCCUUCCGGGUCUUUCUGGGGGGCAGAAGAGGCGCCCGGUGCCUCCUGCCCACCAGACCCCGGGAGCCACCCUGGGGAGGCCCUGGGAGGCCCCGGCCUCCACCCAGGCUGCUGGGCUGCCACGGCAAGAAGGCGGCUCAGCCCGGGAGGAGGACCCGCCAAGCUGCUGGCCGGCCCAGAGGGACCCCGAGCUGCCCCAGCUGCUGGGAGCAGAGGCCCCGAGCUGGGCGACCCAGCGACCUUGAACACUUGAGCCGUGAAAUCAGAGCAGCUGAAGGGAGCGGCAGCUGGCCGGGGAGGGCUGCCCCGUCACGGGGAGGGAGAGGCCUAUUUUUACUCUGAAACCCAGGCUGGGCGGGGGCGCCCCGCAGGCAGCGCCCACCAGGCACGUCCUGCUUGGUUCCAGCUCCACACGGGAAGACACCCAACACCCAGCAAGGCCCGGCCAGCACUGGGCAUCAGCCGAGGACGCACGGAGAGGCCACAGGAAGGCGCGACACCGGGGCAUGGCUGGCUGGGGCUCGGGACAGGAAGAGGGGCCCAGCCAAGGCCGGCCCUGGAGGGAAUGAAGGCUGCUUUCCCUCAACCCCCAACCUGACCUUUGGGAUCAUUCAACUCUUCUCCCUCUUCUUCCGAAGGUCUGAGGAUGGAGGAGAGCUUCGGCUUCACCACAGUAGCUGACCCGCUCUCCCGGCAGCCCUUGGGGUGGAGACACUAUUUUGCUCACUUUAUAGAAGAGGAUACUGAGGGUCAGACUGACCCUCAGUCAUUCUGAGAACAAGAGAUGUGUCUGCUAAUUACUGACAGGGAUGAGGUCAGCCCGGCCCCGGGACCCCAGGCCAGGGCUCUGCCCUCACUGCUCCCCCAACACAACUCUGCUAGGGGGUCCGAGGGGCGGCUGACCCCCCACCAGGGCUGCCCUUCUCCCCUGGGGACCUCAUAAACACCUCUGGCCGGCAGGUGGCUCAUCUGUGGUCCCUCCCAGGCCGAGGGCCUCUCACCCAGGCUGCGGGGCCCUUCCUGGGGGACUGCGGGGACGUCACGGCCUCUCCCCUCUGAGAGCGCAGCCGUCGGGGUGGGGAAGGUCGCGUCCCUGAUCCCCUGACCCACCACAGCGCCUGCCCCUCCCCAGCCUGGGGCUACCACCGCGGGGGCAGUGGGGCCAGGUGGCAGAAGCCACAGCAAGACCACUGGCCGAGAGUGGCCACUCCUGGGCUCAGCCUGGUCCUGGUGACCCGGGAGACUCGGCUGAGGCUUGGUCCAGUGGGUCAGGAUGCCGGCCUCGAGGAGCCUCAGUCCCCGAUAUGAAGUGGGGACACGACUCUCGUCAGGGGGAAAGCCUUCGGGGUCAGUGACGGGCACACGUGGCUCUCCUGCCAGCGGGGGCCACGGUCCCCGAAGCCACCCUCAUCCUCCGCCCGGGGCAGCAGCCCUGGGAGACUGGGGGCAGAGAGCGGAGGUCCCUGCCGGCAGGGCGGGCCUGAGGAGGGGGACAGCCGCAGGAAAGGCCGAGCGGGCAGCUGAGGACAGUCGCCAGGUGCCCCCCCCCACAGUCUCCGCAGGCAGAGGGCCAGGGCCUUGGCAGGACCUCCCGGCUUCCAGAGCCCCGGGCUGUCCUCCUGCACUGAGGGCCAAGCAUUGUCCCUGAUGGCAGGAGGUUCUGGCCGUGGCCAUCACACGGUCACCGUGAGGGGCCGUGGGAACAGACUCCGUCCCUCACUCUCGGGCGUGCCUUCCCAGGGUGGCCUCCAGCUGCCCCCUCCCUGAGCCUGGCUCUGGGCGGAGAGGGGGGUGGACAUGCCCACCGUGUGCCAGGCCCCGGUGUGGGGGUCCUGCAUCCUGGGGAGAGAGUGGUACAGUCCUGUGCGGUCCUGGCCCCCAGAGCUGAGGUCACCAACAAGAGGGCGGGCGGCUCAGGCGGAGUUGCGGGGCUGACGAGCACCCCCCAGGAGGGGCUCCUGACCCAGGCUCGGGGACCUGGGAAGCCCCAGGGAGGUAGGAGGCCGAGGCUGGCCAGGCCGGGAGUUGGCCGGGCUGAGCCAUGAAGGGGAUCAGCGUGUGCAAAGGCCCAGAGGUCGGGGUCCUCGGGACCGGUGAGGGUGGAAGCGCAGGGGCAAGUGGGCAAUGCAGGGCCGAGGAGGGAGGCGGGAGGGGGCUGCUGAGGCCACCGAGCCCUUCCAGGGCAGCACGUGGAGGCGGCACUGUCAAACCAUGGGCCACCUGCUCGUGGGGUGGCGUCACGAUCACCCCUGCGAUGACCGGGAAGUCCCCUGCUGAGACCGACUCUGUGGCCCUGCGCUUGGGCGCCACCAGACCCAUCCAGGCCAGACCUCGGCAAAGGGACCGCAGGCGUGGCCAAGGGUGUCCCAGAAAAGGUGGCCCUGAGGCUGGGCCUGGGGGCCAGAGGGGACUCAGAGUCUCCCAGGGGAGGUCAGCACCGCAGACCUGCAGACCCGGGGGAGUUGUGGGAUAAGCCGCACGCGCCAGCGCACCAGCCUCCCUGUUAGAGAAGGGGGCACAGGCCAACAAGGCAGCCGAGCCUCCCCCCUCAGCCUCCCGCUGCCUCCCGGCUGCGCACCCCCAGGUCUGCUCCACAAAACCCCUGCAAGGGUCCAGAGCCCCUCCGCCAGGGAGGGCACUCGGGUGGGCAGUCGCACCCCAUCUGACCCACCCGCGCUCUUAGCCCGGUGCUUAGGGACCUUCGUAGGGACAAAUCGUGGCAAUGAAGCCAGGGCACGAAGGAGGCGGUGCCCGAGCUCUGGAGAGGCGAGUUCAAAUCCAGUUACUCUUCAGGGUAACUUGGCUCAGUGGUCUAGGUUGCACACUGCACAGUGAGGUCACAUCCAAGGGGACACCAUCCACACGGUGACGUUGCUAUCAUCUAGGAAACCUCUGUGUGGGGGCUCAGGUGAUGGGCUGCUGGCACAUUGAGCAUGUGGGUGUCCCUCGAAGUGCGAGGGGAGAGUCCUGCCUCACGCACGUCAGCCAGAGCUCUGCGCCCAGCCGGGCGGCCGAGGGCCUGCCCUGGGAGUCAGCUCGAGGCCUCGUGCUGAUGGCUGCGGCAGGUCCCGACCUCUGAACCUCUAUUAUUUUGUGUUGACUGUUUAACUUCCACAGAAGGACGCUGUUCCUGGCCCACCGUCCCUGAGACCUGGAGGAGAGCUGGCCUCUGGGAGACUGUCCCUGUGCCCGUCACCUGGGCGGCGUGUGCGGGCAGGCCGGGUGCCUCUGUGACACCCAGUGGAGUCCGUGCCCACUGUCCCUGACCUCAGCUGCUCUGGAAACUCCCUCGGCCAAGCAGCGGGGGCGGGGGGGGGCAGCUCAGUGCCUCGGUUUACCCACCUGAGAAGCAGCGGCCACCCCCAGGACGGCUGGCGGGGGACCCUGUGGUCACCGCUGCUGCUCCUGCCUGGCCUGAAACCUCCCCCCGAGCUUCUCCAAAUUUGGUGCUGCCCGGAGUCUGGACCCCGUUUCCUGCCCCCGCCCCCUCCAUCCUGCUGCAGAAGUGCCGCCAGAGUGGGCCCCCCCAGGCCCCCCAGAACUGCCCGGAGGAA